rnacentral:rRNA from 1 species
AGUGAACGCUGGCGGUAGGCCUAACACAUGCAAGUCGAACGGCAGCACAGUAAGAGCUUGCUCUUACGGGUGGCGAGUGGCGGACGGGUGAGGAAUACAUCGGAAUCUACUUUUUCGUGGGGGAUAACGUAGGGAAACUUACGCUAAUACCGCAUACGACCUACGGGUGAAAGCAGGGGAUCUUCGGACCUUGCGCGAUUGAAUGAGCCGAUGUCGGAUUAGCUAGUUGGCGGGGUAAAGGCCCACCAAGGCGACGAUCCGUAGCUGGUCUGAGAGGAUGAUCAGCCACACUGGAACUUAGACACGGUCCAGACUCCUACGGGAGGCAGCAGUGGGGAAUAUUGGACAAUGGGCGCAAGCCUGAUCCAGCCAUACCGCGUGGGUGAAGAAGGCCUCCGGGUUGUAAAGCCCUUUUGUUGGGAAAGAAAAGCAGCAGGUUAAUACCCCGCUGUUCUGACGGUACCCAAAGAAUAAGCACCGGCUAACUUCGUG